rnacentral:rRNA from 1 species
UGUGAAGGAAAGGUGAAAAGGACCCCGGGAGGGGAGUGAAAGAGAACCUGAAACCAUAUGUUUACAAGCUGUGGAACAUCUUUAUAUGAUGAACCGCGUACUUUUUGUAGAACGGUCCGGCGAGUUACGCUGGCUGGCGAGGUUAAGGGCUGAAGGCCUGGAGCCGAAGGGAAACCGAGUCUGAACAGGGCGAAAUAGUCAGUCGGAGUAGACCCGAAACCGGGUGAUCUAUCCAUGUCCAGGUUGAAGUUGCCGUAAAAGGCAAUGGAGGACCGAACCCACAUCCGUUGAAAAGGGUGGGGAUGAGGUGUGGAUAGGGGAGAAAUUCCAAUCGAACCCGGAGAUAGCUGGUUCUCCUCGAAAUAGCUUUAGGGCUAGCCUCAUGCAAGUCUUACGGAGGUAGAGCACUGAAUUCCUAAGGGGGCGUCAAAGCUUACCAAGGGAUAUCAAACUCCGAAUGCCGUGUAGAUGGUGCAUGGGAGUCAGACUAUCCGAGAUAAGUUGGGUAGUCAAAAGGGAAAGAGCCCAGACCUACAGCUAAGGUCCCAAAAUGUGUGUUAAGUGGAAAAGGAUGUGGGAUUUCGAAGACAACUAGGAUGUUGGCUUAGAAGCAGCCAUCCAUUAAAAGAGUGCGUAAUAGCUCACUAGUCGAGAGGUCCUGCGCCGAAAAUGUCCGGGGCUGAAACACACUACCGAAGCUUGGGAAUUGACGAAUGUUAAUUGGUAGAGGAGCAUUCUUAACGGGGCGAAGCUGUACCGGAAGGAGCAGUGGACUGUUAAGAAGAGAGAAUGCCGGAAUGAGUAGCGAGAGGAAGGUGAGAAUCCUUCCGGCCGAAUAUCUAAGGUUUCCAGAGUAAAGCUGAUCUGCUCUGGGUAAGUCGGGGCCUAAGGCGAGGUCGAAAGACGUAGUCGAUGGAUAACAGGUAAAGAUUCCUGUACUAUAUCAUAACAGAACUGUGGGGACGCAGACAGAGAGCAUAAGCCGGGAAUGGAAAAACCGGUACAAGCGAGGUAGGAGUGCAUCAGGCAAAUCCGGUGCACAAUCUGAAGACGUGAUGUGGGGCGUAAAGCCGGAAGUAUGUGAGCUGGCUGCCAAGAAAAGCCGCUAUUGUUUAUGAUAUACCCGUACCGUAAACCGACACAGGUGGAUGAGGAGAGAAUCCUAAGGCCGACGGGAGAAGCAUUGUUAAGGAACUCGGCAAAAUGACUCCGUAACUUCGGGAGAAGGAGUGCCAUGUAAAAGUGGCCGCAGAGAAUUGGCCCAAGCAACUGUUUAGCAAAAACACAGGUCUAUGCAAAACCGAAAGGUGAGGUAUAUGGGCUGACGCCUGCCCGGUGCUGGAAGGUUAAGGGGAGAGGUUAGUCGUAAGGCGAAGCUUUGAACUUAAGCCCCAGUAAACGGCGGCCGUAACUAUAACGGUCCUAAGGUAGCGAAAUUCCUUGUCGGGUAAGUUCCGACCCGCACGAAAGGCGUAAUGAUUUGGGCACUGUCUCAACAAUGCACCCGGUGAAAUUGAAAUACCAGUGAAGAUGCUGGUUACCUGCGCCAGGACGGAAAGACCCCAUGGAGCUUUACUCCAGCUUGAUACUGGGAUUCGAUAUUGCAUGUACAGGAUAGGUGGGAGACUGAGAACUGAUGACGCCAGUUGUCAGGGAGUCACUGUUGGGAUACCACCCUUGUAGUAUUGGAUUUCUAACCAGCAGCCGUGAACCGGCUGGGGGACAAUGUCAGGUGGGGAGUUUGACUGGGGCGGUCGCCUCCGAAAGGGUAUCGGAGGCGCUCAAAGGUUCCCUCAGAAUGGUUGGAAACCAUUCGAAGAGUGCAAAGGCAGAAGGGAGCUUGACUGCGACACCGACGGGUGGAGCAGGUACGAAAGUAGGACUUAGUGAUCCGGUGGUAUAAAGUGGGAUUGCCAUCGCUCAACGGAUAAAAGCUACCCUGGGGAUAACAGGCUUAUCACUCCCAAGAGUUCACAUCGACGGAGUGGUUUGGCACCUCGAUGUCGGCUCAUCGCAUCCUGGGGCUGAAGUAGGUCCCAAGGGUUGGGCUGUUCGCCCAUUAAAGCGGUACGCGAGCUGGGUUCAGAACGUCGUGAGACAGUUCGGUCCCUAUCCGGCGUGGGCGUAGGAUAUUUGAGAGGAGCUGCCCUUAGUACGAGAGGACCGGGGUGGACUGGCCGCUGGUGGAUCUGUUGUAUUACCAAAUGCAUAGCAGAGUAGCCAAGCCGGGACGGGAUAAACGCUGAAGGCAUCUAAGCGUGAAGCCCCCCUCAAGAUGAGAUAUCCCAUAACGUCAAGUUAGUAAGACCCCUUGA